CCUGAGCUACCUCCUUAAAUUCUUUGCCCUCAUUUGACUCAUUCAUGUUCUUGUCCUGAAACUGCUCCCAAAAGGCCAAAUUCACCUGACUAGUUGGCAUCAGAGCUGAAACUAACAUGGAUCCUCUAACCCCUGAUCUGGCACUUUCCCCUACAGCAGGCUGCCUGCAGCUUUUCUGGCUCUUCUGAGGAAAAACCUUCAAAGCUAAGAAUGAAAAAGAAAAACACUGAAGCAAGAGAAACAUGACUUCUGAUAUUUGCUUCUUCAUCUAUAAAAUGAAAACUUGGAUAGAUUACAAGGAUUAUUAGAAUGUAUGCAAGUCACCUUGGACAGUGUCUUGUGCAUAGUAGGUCCUCAAUCCAUGGCAAAUGAACGCGUUUGCUGAUUCAAAGAGAUCCAGACUCUAAGUUGGAUAGCAAAACAACCACUAUAAAAAGAAUGUCUCUUUCUCCUGCAUCAUGUAUUCUGGAGCAUGAAUUGCAAAUUGGUGGUUUCAUUUGGAUCACCCACGAUAGAAGCACACAUGGGACAGAAGAGCCCACCAAUUCCACCUGUCAUAAGUCCUGGAGCAUUGGUGGCGAUAAUGAAAAUUACGAAUUUUACUGAAUCUUCCACUUGAGAAGGAAUCAACUGGUGGCAUCUCCUGGGGUGACAAGAGAGAUUGACAAGAAGGAUGAGAAGGUGGUUUUGCCUGGAAAGAGUGACAGUUUCACACCAAACCACAGUUCCUUUUUUUUUUCUUUUGCUGUUUUUCUUUCCGCUCUUCCUAUUUUUAAAAAAAUCUGUUUUCGAGAUUG